CAAAUGAUAAAUACAAAUAUAAACAGUCUUAACACUCCAACACUAUUGUUUUUCAAAGGACGAAAAUCUGAGAUUUCAACACUGUGCAUCAGAUUGUCAUUUCCUGCAAUACUAAAAACUCGACAUACUCGACAAGAAAUCGUGAAAUUUGAUAUACAGUUGCAUUGAUAUUGAGAAGACACAGUUACAUUAACAUCUUUGUAUUUGUCGUUGUGUACAAGAGGAGAUGGUUGAAAUAUUAGGUUGCUCGUUGCGAGAGGUUAGGAAGCAUUUAUUGCAGUUUGAAAAUACGCAAAGAAUUUCUUCCUAAAGUCCAAUUACACAAUAAAUUUUGAAGAGAAAGCAAUUUAAACGGAAGAUAGGAAGUUGCAUGUUUGCUGGAAGACUGACAGCGAAUACUUAUUGAAAAUACUUCUCAUUCACUAUACAUUCACUAUGAAUUCACUCAUACAUUCAUGAGAUUUAUUUGAAGACAAAAACAAAGCCCAACUUUUCCACACAUUGGUAGGGAAUCGCGUUAGGAAUUCUUUUCAUUAGCAUUACGUUCUUCCAAAGGGAAUAGUUGAAAAGCCGCGGGAACUUUCAGUGACUAGUGUCGAAACAGGAGUUGCAGAAAACAUUGCGAGCGCAACUGAGCAAAAUUCCUGAAACUUUUUGACAAACGAUCGGAAAUAAAUCAACGUAACGUUGGUUGGUGUUUCUCUGUGGCGAACAACCGAGUCGAUUUCUCAGAAUAAAAUUUACGUUGCAGCUAGCGGAAAGCCGGUACGACGAAUCAAAGAGGAAGUAUAGGUUAGGUUGGCUUGGCUUGGCGAGAGGAAACAGGUCGCAAGUUUGAUCGCGUCGCGUUCGCUUAGAGCUUAAUUAAAAUCAAGAUCGUGUUGCCAGUGAAAGGAGUGCAGAUCCUUUCGGAAUACUUUGCCACGAGUUUCAAACUUCUUGCAAUCCCGUCGCAGGAAAAUGAAACGAUGCAAAGUUUUAUAUCGGGCGCACGCGUAAACUUACUUAACCUUCGCGACAAACAACUGGAAAGAUUGGCCGCCUGUGAAAGGAAUUUAAAACGUAUUCCAGGUUUUCUUUGCUCAGCGAUACUUCCUAUUUCUUUUUUUGCUUUAACUUUUCUACUUCCACCUUUUUCUUUGUCAUUUAUUAUAGUCUUUGGAAUUCUAAUUGGAAAUAAUUCAUUUAUUAUAGUCUUUGGAAUUCUGGUUGGGAAUAAUUCAGCCAGAAAGCAUAUGGUAAGUUAUUGUUCGUAGAAACGCUAAUUUCGUCCAUCACAGAGCAUAAUUAUACACCUUCCUUUUUAAAUGUCACGAGCUUCAGAUUGAAGAAUUUUAACUUUGAAUUGGUAUCACUGGCUAAUUUUCAACGAGCUAUUUCAUUUUAAAGCACUUCAUAAUAUACUACUUAAGGAUUAAAUGAAUAUUUAGCGUCUAAAAUUACAUGACAGGUUCACGUUGAUAAAACAGUUUCCAUUUGUUUGGACGCAUAUAACUUGUUUAAUCUGAACAAGACUUCAUAAGGACAAAUAUAGAAUUUUGAAUGGAUAUCUCAAAUGAACUAAGCAAGUUCACAUCGAUAAAACAGUUGCAAAUCGUUCGAAUCGUAGGUAAUUUGUCUAAUCUGAACAGCGCUCUGUCUCAUUCGAUAUUAACACGAAUGCUAUGGGGGUCACCGGUGACCGGCGCACCAACAUUAGUAGAAAUACAUUAUUUGAACAAAUUCAAUAAUUAUAAAUUUGUUAUUAUUAUCAUCGUUACUACAAUGGUAUGACGAAAUUAAUGCAGUAUAAAAUAUAUAAAAAUAGUUUUAUUUAUACAUGAAAUAUACGUCUAUUACGUGCGCCCUCCAUCAGUGGCUGUCGAACAUGGGAAAAACCCGCUUUUUCCGUGUUUUACCUUAACGAACAGUAACCCUAUGGAACGUUUCGACUUGAAACAUGUUUAAUGGAAAUUAAGGACGUUGACAGUAAAGUAAAAGAUGCUAAAUCUUGUGACGGUUCUUUAGGAUUAUUGCUGGUCCGAAUAAGUAUGAACGAGGGAUACGUUAUGGUUUAUGGUACAUCCUGGGACCUAACAACAUAGAACAAUUAUUUAGCAACGCGAAGAAACAAUAUAAGAUAAUUGACAAUCGCAAAAAGUAAGUGAAUCGAGCGAAAUUGCACUACAGCGCCGUGGGGGUCACCGGUGACCUCAGUGAGAUAAAUUCAUUAAUGAUGAUUAUACACCGUAGCAUAUCUGUUGUAGGUAAUAUUUCAACAUUAUAUGUAUCGCAUAAUAACGAAAUUCAUCGUGGCGCCACGGCCAAACCUUGUAAAACUGGCGUGUCAUUCAACGUCUUAACACUUUACCGAUCGAUAGCCGAUUAAUCGGUUUUUUGUCACCAACGAUUACCGACCGAUAGUCUAUUAAUUUGCUUUUUGUCGCCGACAAUCUUUCUCAUUAUUUGAGCAGUAAUUUGUUAUUUAGUACUAAGGUACCUUACGCAGUCGCGUCAGUUGCGUUGCUUUGUAAGCUUCCACCGUUUUAUACCAAUUUGAAAAACGUACCGUUCGCAAUAAACAAAAAGAAUGGUAUCGGAGACUGUAAACCGAAACAGAGCCAGCGCCAGGGGAGAAUCUGCGCCUGAGAUGCCGGUCGGAUGUGCGUAUGCUGUUGAAUCGUUAACGGUCGGUAAAAUGUUAAGAAUACGUACUGGGUUGGCAACUAAGUCAUCAGGUAGUAUUGACGAAAUCCGCAAUCACGUAGUUGCCAACCUUACCUUAGUUUGUCUCGGUUUGAACAAAACGCGUGCGAACUAAUGUGAAUUUAUUUGAAGAGUUUGUAAAUUCCCGUUGAAAAGGGAAUUCUCUCUUCACCAAGUAUCGUUCUGGCGUACUCUAUCGUGCGGAUGUUGGCAAAUUGAAAUCGAUCGAUCGCGCGGGAACCACCCUUUCCUUCGUUUUAUCCGGCAUUCCUUUUUGCAGCGUGGCCUGAUUCAAUUUCAAGAACAGACGCAAUCACUUAGAACAGAGGAAAAACCCGGCGCAAAGAAGGAAAGCAAGAAGCGGAAAGUAUUUUUCCGGAUGAGCAAGGAGAAUGCUGGUUGGACGCUUCCGGCGUCGCCCAUUAACGCCCGAUUAGAAACAUAUCUUUCGUAAAAUUACCGUUUCCAGCUUUGACUCGAGACCACCGCCCCGGAUGCUCGUUCUUUGCCCAACUGUGGGGCGGUUCUGACCCAUUCUUUCUCGCUUUUCGUUUCUUUCCAACGUCCGUUUGAGCACACGAGACUUGAUAAGAAUCUUAGGACGAUGGAAGUUUGAAAUAAAUUUAUUUGCACGAUAAGUGAAAACGCGGAAAAUUUGUAUAUUUUAGUAGCAUAAGGUUUUAAUUCGUACAACUUCAUGGAACUUGGAUCAGGAUAUUGAUUAGAUGGUAAUUUGAUUACCAUUAGAUGGUAAUGACAAAAUCCGCAAUCACUUAGUUACCAAUCCAAUAAACCUUGAGACAAAAGCUCGGUCUCUGUCAUUGUGAAAUCGUAUCGAUAUAAUGUCUAUGAAAAAUAACCUACUGUUACCGAUUAGACGUCUGAAGGCUCGCGACACUCGUAUCUGAAGAUGUUUCAUAAAUUGUAGAACCUUCACAACAGCACAGGUAGAAAGAUGUAUCCGUAAAUCGGAUACAUCUUCUAUUCAAUUUCACGAUAUCAAUUUUCUGCGUCUUAAAGAUUAAGUUUAAACGCAAAACGUUUAUUCGUGAAGAAAUAAUUGAUAACCUAAUCUUCUUCUUAAUCUGUCUUAAUAUUUUGUAAGCGUCGAUUAUGUUGCCAUAAUUUAUCACUAUAUGAAAUUCCUCAUCUAAGAACGAGCGGAUGUUAUCGAAUUAACCUUUAGAAACUCGAUGAAUCUUCGAUGGCGGGGAACGUGGCGAGAUAACGAAAGACACGAUCGAUUUACUGUGCGUAUCGUCGAUACAUGUAGGUACAUGUGAUAAGCAGAACAGGAAUCUAGGGAUUUUCGGGAUUAGCCGUAACGCUGACAGAGGCGAAACUUACGCGCACUAACUCGACCCGGUUCAGAUCGAACGGUGUCGAUCGGAAUUGCGGCGCGUUAGGUUUGACAUGAGGUAAGCCGUGGAUUCGCCUUGUGAUUAUGAAUUUACCGAUAUCGGUUUAUCCAACCUCGCAGGAAUUUCAAACUAAUUUGUCGUUCGUGUAGGGAAUUCAAAGCUGUCUCUUAGGUCUUUCUCGUUUCAUGAUAACUCGCUAAAUGUAUUUUGACAAGUACUUAAAUAGGGAAAUUAAUUAACAUUGAUUAGUCUGUGAAAUGAAUUUAUUCUUCACAAAUGGCCGUAAAAAGCUGAAAAAAAUUGAAAUCACGAUAGAUACGAUCGAAAAACAUACGUAAUCGACGUAAUUAGACUCGAGCACUGCGAUCAAUAAUAUGCUACAACCGAGAACACGUGUGAAAUCGAGGAGAUAUUAAUCUAUUGCGACUAAUACUAAUCAAACGUCAUCGUCUUCUUUCAAAUUCUACACAACGUACAAGUUUUUCAAAUUACAAAUUAUCCACUUGAUAUUUUCGUCGCAAUUCCAUCAGCCUUCGCUAUGCAGAGAAAACGACUAGCUUCGUUAAUAAUACGUUACGACCGAAAAAGCGUGAGAGAUCAAGGCGACCCUAAUCUAUUACAUCACGACCAAUCGGAUGAACGUUCGUCUUCUUUCAAGCUCCACGCGGUACAAGCUUUCCAAGCUACAAAAUCAUUUACUAAAGUAAUCUAUACUAAUAUUCUCGUCAGAAAACCAUUCUUUACUACGUAGAAAUAGCAGGGCAUCGCUCAUCGAGCGGCCAAUUGGAUGCUCGACGACGCAAUUAGACGUGACCACUUCCAGCGAUAUUACAGUUGAAAAUUAUGGAUCUUAGUCGCCGAAAUAAAUGUAUAGCAACGCUCACAUUACACGUGGAAAUGAUAUUAAAAUAAUUUCAUAUUUAUUUAAUACGUGAUUAACAAGAUAUUCGUGGAUACACAUUGCACGCGUCUCAGCACUCUCUUGUCUCACCAUCUUUCUACCACUAUGCGUACGGAACGGUUGCGUUGAGAUAGAGGAACGAUUGGAUGAAUUUGUAACAGAAAAAUAUAUUGAAAUAAGCAUAAAUACACGUAUAGUGUAUAAGGUCAAAUUCAAAUAAAUUGUUAUCACUAGUUAUUAAUUUAAUGUGUGAUAUUGUUGAGGUUAAGUGAUAGAGAAACGAUUGGAUGAAUUUGUAAUACAAAAAUAUAUUGAAGUAAGUACAAGUACGGGUAUAGUGUAUGAGAUCAAAAUUAAAUAAAUUGUUGUCAUUAUUUAUUAACUUAAUAUAUGAUAUUGAAGAGGUUAACUGAUAGAGGAACGAGUGGAUGAAUUUUUAAUAGAAAAAUAUAUAGGAAUAUAAGUAUAGGUAUAGUGAGAUCAAAAUCAAGUAAAUUGUUAUCGUUAUUUAUUAAUUUAAUGUGUGAUAUUGUUGAGGUUAAGUGAUAGAGAAACGACUGGAUGAAUUUGUAAUAGAAAAAUAUAUAGAAAUAUAGUAUAGGUAUAGUGAGAUCAAAAUCAAGUAAAUUGUUAUCGUUAUUUAUUAAUUUAAUGUGUGAUAUUGUUGAGGUUAAGUGAUAGAGAAACGACUGGAUAAAUUUGUAACAGAAAAAUAUAUUGAAAUAAGUAUAAGUACAAGUUGACUGAUAGGUGAACGACUGGAUGAAUUUGUAACAGAAAAAUAUAUUGAAAUAAGUAUAAGUACAAAGGUUAACUGAUAGAGGAACGAGUGGAUGAAUUUCUAAUAGAAAAAUAUAUUGAAACAACUAUAAGUACAGGUAUAGUGUAUGAAGUCAAAAUCAAAUACAUUGUUGCCAUUAUUUAUUAAUUUAAUGUGUGAUAUUGUUGAGGUUAAGUGAUAGAGGAACGACUGGAUGAAUUUGUAAUAGAAAAAUAUAUAGAAAUAUAAGUACAGGUAUAGUGAGAUCAAAAUUAAGUAAAUUGUUAUCGUUAUUUAUUAAUUUAAUGUGUGAUAUUGUUGAGGUUAAGUGAUAGAGAAACUACUGGAUGAAUUUGUAAUAGAAAAAUAUAUAGAAAUAUAACUACAGGUAUAGUGAGAUCAAAAUCAAGUAAAUUGUUAUCGUUAUUUAUUAAUUUAAUGUGUGAUAUUGUUGAGGUUAAGUGAUAGAGAAACUACUGGAUAAAUUUGUAACAGAAAAAUAUAUUGAAAUAAAUAUAAGUACAAGUAUAGUGUAUGAGGUCAAAUUCAAAUAAAUUGUUAUCAUUAGUUAUUAAUUUAAUGUGUGAUAUUGUUGAGGUUAAGUAAUAGAGGAACGAGUGGAUGAAGUGGAACAGAAAAGUAUAUUGAAAUAAGUAUAGGCAUAAGUAUAAGUACAGAUAUAGUGUAUAAGGUCAAAAUCAAAUAAAUUGUUAUCAUUAUUUAUUAAUUUAAUAUAUCAUAUUGUUGAGGUUAAGUGAUAGAAAAACGACUGGAUGAAUUUGUAAUAGAAAAAUAUAUAGAAAUAUAAGUACAGGUAUAGUGAGAUCAAAAUCAAGUAAAUUGUUAUCGUUAUUUAUUAAUUUAAUGUGUGAUAUUGUUGAGGUUAAGUGAUAGAGAAACGACUGGAUGAAUUUGUAAUAGAAAAAUAUAUAGAAAUAUAAGUACAGGUAUAGUGAGAUCAAAAUCAAGUAAAUUGUUAUCGUUAUUUAUUAAUUUAAUGUGUGAUAUUGUUGAGGUUAAGUGAUAGAGAAACGACUGGAUGAAUUUGUAAUAGAAAAAUAUAUAGAAAUAUAAGUACAGGUAUAGUGAGAUCAAAAUCAAGUAAAUUGUUAUAAUAUUUAUUAAUUUAAUGUGUGAUAUUGUUGAGGUUAAGUGAUAGAGAAACGACUGGAUGAAUUUGUAAUAGAAAAAUAUAUAGAAAUAUAAGUACAGGUAUAGUGAGAUCAAAAUCAAGUAAAUUGUUAUCGUUAUUUAUUAAUUUAAUGUGUGAUAUUGUUGAGGUUAAGUGAUAGAGAAACGACUGGAUGAAUUUGUAACAGAAAAAUAUAUUGAAAUAAGUAUAAGUACAGAUAUAGUGUAUGAGAUCAAAAUUAAAUAAAUUGUUGUCAUUAUUUAUUAA